rnacentral:lncRNA from 1 species
AUGUCCAGAUGUCGCUUGGACCAGGCCAAGCUGGUCCAUCCACACCAUGGAGUCCUGCUCGACCUGGAGAGUGGCAGGCGCCAGCAGUGCGGACAGACCCAGAACACCCGACCUUAUGGGGAGGCACCAGCCACAGAUGCCAUGAGUCCUGCCGUCCCACUUCUGUGUAGGCCCAGGGCAGGACGGUCCGUGGACAGGACACAGGUGGAGCUUGUGGGGUGGCCAGAGAAGGAUGUGACUGCAGGGGCACCCAAGCAGUACCGGCAGGGAAGGGAUCACACUGACCUGCCCUUCAGCCGACUGGGACACUGGGGGCAGCCCAAGGGUGUACCAAGGAGCAGCCUGAGCUUUCAGGCCAGAAGGAGCCGGGCCUGUUCACCAGGUGCCUGGGAGGCAGAGGGCUGCGGAAGCAUUGUCUGGACUGCCAGGAAGAUGGGAGUGGCGGACACACUCUUCUGCUUUGGAAAUUCUGUUCUUCCCAGCCCCUGGAAGGAGCACAGGACAGCACGCUGAUGGCCAGACAGGGCCCUGGGGGUCUGCUCCCCGGUGCUGUUCUCCAGAGGGAGAGCCUUCUGAACAGCAGCAGCCCUGAUCCGGAGGUGUCACUGCCCCAUGGCGCAGUCCCAGAGAGCACCCACCCUGCCAAGAACUGGACCAGGCCACCAUGGACAGAGGGAUGCCUGGAAGGUGUCAGGGGGCUGCAUCCCAGCUGGCUGACCAACUUCUGGCCCUUCUCCUCCCCGGCAGGCAUCUGGCCUACUGCUAACCCCCUCUGCAGCAGGAGCGAGUUGGAACGAGUUGGCUAGGCACCCAAAUGGGUCUCAGCGCACACUGGGCCACCACCCUCAGACUGCUCGUGGUCGGACAAGUGGCUGGGCCUCCAGGGCCACCAUUGCNNNNNNNNNNNNNNGACAGGGAAGGUGGGCGCCCACCACCCUCUCCCUCUGCUGAGGCCGGAUACUUCCUGCAUCCACGCCCAUGCCUGGUUUGCGGCUGUCUUCACGGGAGCUGCCAGGGACCUGCAGACUGG